rnacentral:rRNA from 1 species
CGGUAAUUCCCGUUCCAAUAGCGUAUACUAAAGUUGUUGCAGUUAAAAAGCUCGUAGUUGGAUUUCUGCGGGGACGGAGCGGCCGGUCGCAACUUGCGACUCGAGCUAGCGCUUUCCCCGCAUCCUGCCGCGAACCGUGCUACCAUUAGCUUGGUGGCGCUGGGGAUCGGCUCGAUUACUUUGAGAAAAAUAGAGUGUUCAAAGCAGGCCACACGCCUUGAAUAAGUUAGCAUGGAAUAAUGACUAAGGACUUCGGUUCUAUUUUGUUGGUGUUCGGGACUGAAGUAAUGAUUGAUAGGGACAGUUGGGGCGGUCUGUAUUCCAAAGCGAGAGGUGAAAUUCUUAGACCUUCGGAAGACAAACAGCUGCGAAAGCGUUCCGCAAGGAUGUUCCCUUUGAUCAAGAACGAAAGUUGGGGGAUCGAAGACGAUCAGAUACCGUCGUAGUCUCAACUAUAAACUAUACCAGCUAGGGAUCGGUCAACGUUUAAUCAUUCGACUUGAUCGGCACCUUAUGAGAAAUCAAAGCAUCUGGGUUCCGGGGGGAGUAUGGUCGCAAGGCUGAAACUUAAAGGAAUUGACGGAAGGGCCCCACCAGCCGUGGAGCCUGUGGCUUAAUUUGACUCAACACGGGAAAACUUACCAGGUCCAGACAUAGUAAGGAUUGACAGAUUGAUAGCUCUUUCUUGAUUCUGUGGGUGGUGGUGCAUGGCCGUUCUUAGUUGGUGGAGUGAUUUGUCUGGUUAAUUCCGUUAACGAACGAGACCCCAGCCUGCUAAAUAGCGCGGCUGAGCUUUGCUCGGUGCGAGCUUCUUAGAGGGACUAUGAUGCGCGAUAGCACAUGGAAGUUUGGGGCAAUAACAGGUCUGUGAUGCCCUUAGAUGUUCUGGGCCGCACACGGGCUACACUGGCGCCUGCAACGAGCAUAUCAGCUGGCCCGAGAGGGUCUUGGCUAAUCUUUUGAACCGGCGCCGUGCUUGGGAUUGACCAUUGCAAUUGUUGGUCAUGCAACGAGGAAUGCCUUGUAAACGCGAGUCAUCAGCUCGCAUUGAAUACGUCCCUGCCCUUUGUACACACCGCCCGUCGCUCCUACCGAUGAAUGUUCCGAUGAAAUUUUCGGAGAGCGCCAGAGAACGGGGCUCUGCCUUGCAGAUCUGGAGGCUCAAAGUCACUUAAAUCUGAACAUUUCGAGGAAGGAGAAGUCGUAACAAGGUAGCCG